AGAGCUGGGGCUACUGCUGGAAUUAGCUGGCAGGGAACACUCACCUUGAUUAAUCAGAAGAGGUUUGUUAGCAGUAUGCUCUUUUUCGUCACUCAUCUCGAGGCUCGUCUUCAACACAUUUACUGACUAAUUCAAGUCUCUCCGUCAAUCAGAAGCAAGGAUGGUUCUGUGCCAUGUACCGGAUUAUAACUACUUCUCCAAUAGUGCUUAUUGGAGGUGCAGGUGCAUUUGAUAAUUUUCCGACCUCUAAUCGAGAGGCAUCGUUGGAGUCGUGUGAUAAGACGAGCGGAUCGGAAACCCAUUGACAACUCUCGGGUUGGCAGCUGCCAUUUUCUGUUGGGAAAGAGAGACGACCCUGUAUUUACCAGAAAGGGUAGCUCAUCCACCAUGUUAGAAGAGGAAGAUCCAGACACAUCCACCUUGGCAGAAGAGGUAGUAGAUCCAGGCCCUUGGCCGCUGUGUCUGCACACUUGCAGAAUGUUCUCACUGAGGUGCGUCUUGGGAAACAUUAGCGCAGUUGAAGGUUCUACAGGAGAAUCAGCUGUCUGAUAAAGUACUUAGGAUGGAAAUAGGACUUCCUGACAGACAUGUUCAGCAUUGUUGUUGAAUACUUGGAACGAUACAAGGACCGCGAUUAUACUUUGCCAAGUGGAGGGUCGAGAUGCUAUCAUUUGAGGAUCACGUACGUGUUUAUGGCGCUUAUGAAGUUCCGUCACAGCUACACCAAUUUGCACCUGGUUCAACUAUUCCAUUGUAGUGCAAGCACUAUCAGCAAUGUUACCAUCACUUUAAUUCACGUGAUCCACAAACUUAC
rnacentral:lncRNA from 1 species